rnacentral:lncRNA from 1 species
GGAUGCAUUAAAAGUGGAAGUGUUUAUACAGUGUGUAUUCUCAUGCCAGAAUAUCCUCUGUUGCAGAACACAGACUUCAGCAGUGUUUGGAAGUUGUGUGUUCUAUCUCGUCCACUAAUAACAAUCCCUUCAUUUUACAGCAAGAAUAUUUACAACUGUAAUGACUACAAAUGAUCUGAUAGUUCUCAUCCGUUUCAUAACCAUGCUCAUUCUCAAUAUUUGGGUCACGGCCACAAUCCUGCGCUACAGGAGAACUAAAAAGACCAAUUAGAAGAUGCUCGUCAGCAUACAACGUGAAAAGAAAAAAAGGGAAAAGGAAACUGAUAUGGUUAAACAGCAGAAAAAAGCUGAGGAAAGGUUGAAAGGGGAGAUUUAAACUGGAUACAAAGGAAAAGGUGUUUUACCAUCAGGGUGGUGAGGCACUGGCACAGGUUGCCCAGAGAGGUGGUGGCUGCCCCAUCCCUGGAGACACCCAAGGUCAGGCUGGAUGGGUCUCUGAGCACCUGAUGGAGCUGUGGGUGUCCCUGUUCAGUGCAGGGAGUGGGACCAGAUGGCUUUCAAGGCUUCCUUCCAACUCAGACAAUUCUGAUUCUAUGAAACGUUCUCUCUUAAACCUAGUAUUUAUCCCUAGACAUAUUUAGUGCGGUUCUGCUUAUUUUCACAUAGAAAUAAUUCUGAUAAGAUACUUAAUUUAGGCAGCACACUUUCACUGGUUAUCUGAGCCAAGUUUCCCUGAUGCCACUUUUUCUCUGGAUUCUUUUUUAGUAAAUGAACAACGUGUUUGUAUUUAGAUAUGUAUAUGUUCUCAUAUCGCUCCAGUACUUUCUGCUUGCAUAUUAGCAAUUAUUUUCUUCACUUAUACAAGAGAACUUUGUGGCAGCAUAUCUGCUCUUCUGUCUACAUCUGCUGCCAGUUUGAAAACAGCAGGUGCUUCUUUUUCUUGCAAGCAACUCCAAAUAGUUAGACAUUAAUAUCUGUAUUUUAGCAUAGGGAAAAUCUGAGCAAAGGCCCAAUUCAGAAUAUAUUUCUAAAUGAGUUUCACAAAGUCAGGGAUCCAGCUGAGAUUGCAGCACUGCACGCAGCACUUGAGCAGUACAUUCACACAGCUGAUACAGAAUAUCUGUAGUUACUUCCAUAUAAACAGUUGUUAUAAUGGUAAGAACAAAAACAACCAUAUGUUCUUCUUUUUCAUCCUGAGCUCUCCAUCACUGAACAUACUGUUUUGGGAACAGCAGUAACUGGAAGGUACAGAGAUUAAUGAGACUUUGGCUGAGAAUUAAUUCUGUUCCAAGAGAGGCUCCUGCAGUGAUGCUCAGUCUCCAUAUGCAGUCUGUAUUGACUGUGGCCCAUCUAUGCACUGUGAUGCAUUGAGGCAAACCCGUCUCCAAUGGUUAUCAGGUUUUGAUGAUACCACAAUAUGCUUUAUUACUUUUUAACCUGUCCUGAAGAAUUUAAAGACUGAAGUUGAAUUUUGACUUCGGAGAUCCCAACCGGUUUUAGUAGGUAUAUUUAAAAAGGGGAAAGGUUGUUCUUGAAAACUUUUAGCAGGGGAUUUUACUUUUGGAAGUCGUACUUUUCCAACCCCAAGUUAGAGCAGGAACCAUAGAGAAAUACAAUAACCACAGAUUUCUCAAUGCAUUCUCCAAAAUGAGCUUUUUGAAUAGAGUUCUUACACUACUACUGCUAAUCAGCAUGCUAAAAACAAGGAGCUCGGGAUCCUGGCAGGCUUGGGAAGACUACGGGAAGACUCAUUGACUGCAUUUGAGUCAGGUUUUCCUUGCAACAUGCUAAAUCGCUGGGAUGUCACAGAGCAGCAGGAUCUGCAAAAGCAAUCGUUCUGCCAGCAGCCGCUCAGCAAGCAGAGACCUUCACUGCCUGAAACAAAGCUGCUUUGUCAGCUCUGAUUCUGGGGAGGGAAGCAGUGGAAAGAGGUAUGUCUGAGGACAUAUAUGAUUUUGUGUAUCUCACAUUAUUGAGAGAAAAUUAAAACGUGAGGCUUUUUUACUGCUUCAGUAAAGUGUGUGAAUGCUCAGAAGUUUCUCUGUUGGUUGAGAGAGUAAUUGUAAAUAUUCUGCUACUGAUUUUACUGAAGCUAUCUGAAAUGUCUAAGUAAUUUGGUGGCAGGUGGCAUGUAAUGCAUUUUCC